CACGUAGGGCGCAAGCGUUGUCCGGAAUUAUUGGGCGUAAAGAGCUCGUAGGCGGUCUGUUGCGUCCGCUGUGAAAACUCGGGGCUUAACCCCGAGCCUGCAGUGGAUACGGGCAGACUAGAGGUAGGUAGGGGAGAAUGGAAUUCCCGGUGUAGCGGUGAAAUGCGCAGAUAUCGGGAGGAACACCCGUAGCGAAGGCGGCACUCUGGGCCGGAACUGACGCUGAGGAGCGAAAGCGUGGGGAGCGAACAGG
rnacentral:rRNA from 1 species